rnacentral:rRNA from 1 species
UACGGAGGGUGCAAGCGUUAUCCGGAUUCACUGGGUUUAAAGGGUGCGUAGGUGGGUUGGUAAGUCAGUGGUGAAAUCCCCGAGCUUAACUUGGGAACUGCCAUUGAUACUAUCAGUCUUGAAUACUGUGGAGGUCAGCGGAAUAUGUCAUGUAGCGGUGAAAUGCUUAGAUAUGACAUAGAACACCAAUUGCGAAGGCAGCUGGCUACACAAAUAUUGACACUCAGGCACGAAAGCGUGGGGAUCAAACAGG